CAGCCGCCACGGUAAUACGUAUGUCACAAGCGUUAUCCGGAUUUAUUGGGCGUAAAGCGCGUCUAGGUGGUUAUGUAAGUCUGAUGUGAAAAUGCAGGGCUCAACUCUGUAUUGCGUUGGAAACUGUGUAACUAGAGUACUGGAGAGGUAAGCGGAACUACAAGUGUAGAGGUGAAAUUCGUAGAUAUUUGUAGGAAUGCCGAUGGGGAAGCCAGCUUACUGGACAGAUACUGACGCUGAAGCGCGAAAGCGUGGGUAGCAAACAGGAUUAGAUACCCCAGUAGUCCCUGUCUCUUAUACA
rnacentral:rRNA from 1 species